GAUGAACGCUGACAGAAUGCUUAACACAUGCAAGUCUUUGGCGAAGCUGUGCUUGCACAGCCUAGCCAAGGCGGACGGGUGAGUAACGCGUAAGGAACUUGCCCUGCAGUCAGGGAUAACAGACGGAAACGACUGAUAAGACCUGGUAAAGUCAGGCGGACUCAUGUCCAGCCUGAUGAAAAGAGAUGCUGCAGGAGAGCCUUGCGUCCUAUUAGCUUGUUGGUGGGGUAACGGCCCACCAAGGCGAUGAUAGGUAGCCGGCCUGAGAGGGUGGACGGCCACAAGGGGACUGAGAUACGGCCCUUACUCCUACGGGAGGCAGCAGUGGGGAAUAUUGGACAAUGGGGGCAACCCUGAUCCAGCAAUUCUGUGUGCACGAUGAAGGUUUUCGGAUUGUAAAGUGCUUUCAGCAGGGAAGAAAA
rnacentral:rRNA from 1 species